rnacentral:rRNA from 1 species
GACGAACGCUGGCGGCGUGCCUAAUACAUGCAAGUAGAACGCACAGUUUAUACCGUAGCUUGCUACACCAUAAACUGUGGGUUGCGAACGGGUGAGUAACGCGUAGGUAACCUGCCUGGUAGCGGGGGAUAACUAUUGGAAACGAUAGCUAAUACCGCAUAAUAUUAAUUAUUGCAUGAUAAUUGAUUGAAAGAUGCAAUUGCAUCACUACCAGAUGGACCUGCGUUGUAUUAGCUAGUAGGUGAGGUAACGGCUCACCUAGGCGACGAUACAUAGCCGACCUGAGAGGGUGAUCGGCCACACUGGGACUGAGACACGGCCCAGACUCCUACGGGAGGCAGCAGUAGGGAAUCUUCGGCAAUGGACGAAAGUCUGACCGAGCAACGCCGCGUGAGUGAAGAAGGUUUUCGGAUCGUAAAGCUCUGUUGUAAGAGAAGAACGGGUGUGAGAGUGGAAAGUUCACACUGUGACGGUACCUUACCAGAAAGGGACGGCUAACUACGUG